rnacentral:rRNA from 1 species
GAUGAACGCUGGCGGCGUGCCUAAUACAUGCAAGUCGAGCGAACAGACGAGGAGCUUGCUCCUCUGACGUUAGCGGCGGACGGGUGAGUAACACGUGGAUAACCUACCUAUAAUACUGGGAUAACUUCGGGAAACCGGAGCUAAUACCGGAUAAUAUAUUGAACCGCAUGGUUCAAUAGUGAAAGACGGUUUUGCUGUCACUUAUCGAUGGAUCCGCGCCGCAUUAGCUAGUUGGUAAGGUAACGGCUUACCAAGGCGACGAUGCGUAGCCGACCUGAGAGGGUGAUAGGCCACACUGGAACUGAGACACGGUCAAGACUCCUACGGGAGGCAGCAGUAGGGAAUCUGCCGCAAAGGGCGAAAGCAUGACGGAGCAACGCCGCGUGAGUGAUGAAGGUCUUCGGAUCGUAAAACUCUGUUAUUAGGGAAGAACAAAUGUGUAAGUAACUAUGCACGUAUUGACGGUACCUAAUCAGAAAGCCACGGCUAACUACGUG